rnacentral:rRNA from 1 species
UAUCUCUGUAGAGUCUGCAUAUCAAUAAGCGGAGGAAAAGAAGCUAACUAGGAUUCCCUCAGUAACGGCGAGUGAAGCGGGAAGAGCUCAAAUUUGAAAUCUUCAAGGUUCUACCUUGACGAAUUGUAGUUUAAAGAAGUGUUUUCUGUUGGAGUUUUGGUAAAAGUUCUUCGGAAUAGGACAUCAUAGAGGGUGAGAAUCCCGUAUUUGACCAUUAUUUCCAGCUUUGUGAUACACUUUCAAAGAGUCGGAUUGUUUGGGAAUGCAGUCCAAAAUGGGUGGUAAAUUUCAUCUAAAGCUAAAUACUGGCGAGAGACCGAUAGCGAACAAGUACCGUGAGGGAAAGAUGAAAAGAACUUUGAAAAGAGAGUUAAACAGCACGUGAAAUUGUCAAAAGGGAAGCGUUUGACACCAGUGUUGUUUUCUCGAAAAUCAAUUAAAAAAGUUGGAUUUUGUAUUGUUAAGACCUUAUCAGCUUACUGUACUCUUUUCUUGCUUUUUUUAAUGCACUUUUCGUUUAACAAGUCAACAUCAAUUUCUUUUGUUGUAAAAGAGUCAUUGGAAGGUGGCUUUCACUUCGGUGAAAGUGUUUAUAGCCUUUGGCUUCUGCAAUCGGAGAGAUUGAGGUCUGCAGCGUAGAUCCUUCGGGGCUAGAUACGUAGAUGCUAAGUUAUAGUUUUUUAUAGACAACUUGUUGACUAUAAUUAAUCAUGUAGCUUACUCGUUUGCGCUAUUUUACCUACGCUUAGGAUGUUGACGAUCAGCUGAGCGCG